AGUGAACGCUGGCGGUAGGCCUAACACAUGCAAGUCGAACGGCAGCACAGUAAGAGCUUGCUCUUACGGGUGGCGAGUGGCGGACGGGUGAGGAAUACAUCGGAAUCUACUUUUUCGUGGGGGAUAACGUAGGGAAACUUACGCUAAUACCGCAUACGACCUACGGGUGAAAGCAGGGGAUCUUCGGACCUUGCGCGAUUGAAUGAGCCGAUGUCGGAUUAGCUAGUUGGCGGGGUAAAGGCCCACCAAGGCGACGAUCCGUAGCUGGUCUGAGAGGAUGAUCAGCCACACUGGAACUGAGGCACGGUCCAGACUCCUACGGGAGGCAGCAGCGGGGAAUAUUGGACAAUGGGCGCAAGCCUGAUCCAGCCAUACCGCGUGGGUGAAGAAGGCCUUCGGGUUGUAAAGCCCUUUUGUUGGGAAAGAAAAGCAGCAGGUUAAUACCCCGCUGUUCUGACGGUACCCAAAGAAUAAGCACCGGCUAACUUCGUG
rnacentral:rRNA from 1 species